rnacentral:rRNA from 1 species
AUGCGGGCCCUCUUCUGGAACAUCCGCGGCUUCGGCCAUGAUGGUCGUCGCCGCCAACUUGUGGAGUUCAUGCGAGAUGAACACAUCGACAUCGUUGCUGUCCAGGAGACCAUGCGUCGCGAAUUCUCGCUCCCCGAGCUCGAUUGUUUGAGUUCCCACCUCUUUGCGUGGCAUUGGCUCCCUUCUAGUGGGAGCUCUGGCCACUCGGGUGGCAUCCUUUUAGGCGUAAAGGAUGCCACAUUCGAGGUGGGCAGUAUGGACCGGGGGGAAUUCUACGUCAGCAUGGAGCUCUUCAAGAGAUCUCUCAACUUCAAAUGGGAGAUCAUCAUUGUCUACGGGCCUGCCGACCAUAGUAGGUCGGCUGCCUUCCUCGAGGAGAUGCAUCAUAAAAUCUCGGCAGCCUCCCUCCCCGUGGUGGUGGGGGGCGACUUUAACCUGCUGCGCGUGGCGGCAGACAAGAGCAACGAUAAUGUUUGCUUUGCCAGAAUGCAAAUGUUUAAUGACUUCAUCGCCGACCUCGCCCUUCGGGAGAUUGAUAGGAUUGGUGCGCGGUUCACCUGGACCAAUCGGCAAUCUUCCCCGACCCAGUCCGUGUUGGACAGGGUCCUUGUCUCCCCGGAUUGGGGCCUCCGCUGCCCCCUCUCCUCUCUCCGCGCCAUCACUAGGAUUGGCUCGGACCAUGUCCCCCUUCUUCUCUCCUCUGCGGACAAACGCCCGCCGACCACUCUUCGCUUCCGCUUUGAGACCUUCUGGAUCUCCAGGCAGGAUUCACGGACGCAGUUUGCGCCCGGUGGAUUGAGGCCUGAGCCCACCCCCAUCCCAGGCCUCCCUCGAAAAUUGACACGUGGCAUUUCUGUGCGAAAUGUGGUAGACAGUUUAUGA